UAAGGUAUAAUUAAAAAUCAUAAUAUAAGACUUUUAAUCUAACAUUGUAGACACACCCCUACUACCUUAA
rnacentral:tRNA from 1 species